GUGGUAUGUGUGCACAGUAUACAGUAGUGUAUUUCAAGUGGUUUAAUUAGUGAUGCUCUAGAAUAGAUUAUGUGCCUGGUGGUCUCGGGAAUUUGAGACGGACUUUGCACAGACAGGUAGUUUUAAUGCCAGCUGCUCUCUCUUUGUAUUACACCGCGACAUAGCCCCAUUAUGAUGGCUAUGAAGACAAUAAAGCCUAACUUAAUAUAGACCAUGUCACUUCUGAAGUGGUCCCCACCCAAGAUAACUGAAACCUGUCUGGUACAUUGGGAAGCACCGUCAUGUAGUAUAAAUGGUGUCAGCGUUUUACCACUCUUCAGAAAUUGAUUUAUUUAAAUGCUUUUGGUGCAACAGAAAUAUAUCUUCAACAAAAAGACUUGUUUAUAAACUGAAUCUUUUUUUUCUUUGUUCCUAAACACCUGAGUAAACAGGUGAAUAUUCUGCCCAACUGAACCCCUGGCAUCUGGAUAAAUGUGCAGAUUGGAAACAUCCUUUUCUACUUUGACAUCAAAACCACAUCAACAAAAUCCUGAAGCAGAACAUCAAACUCCAUCGGAGAUGGGCAUACCUGUGUAUCCUGGGGAAUACCUGAAUCAUCUCUGGCACAAUCCACAUCAUAAAUAUGAGCUCAGAACUUCUGUGCAAGAUGGAAUGAAAAAAAGAAAACUACAAACCCCUUCAGGCCACAAAUCAGGAAUUGUUUCAAUUACCUCUUUUCUUGAUGAAGCCCAGGGUAUAGGUCCUGAUGAAGCUAUAUCAGCACUUUUUCUGUUUUCCUUACAGAACAAAUUGCCAGCAGGAUUCCUGUUUAUGAGGUUUUCUCUCUUUCAUUUUGGAUCAUUUAAAUUACUAUUUAUUGGAUCAGAGCAAGAUGGCGGAAGAGCAGGGUCUCCAAAUCACCUGUCUCCACCAAAUUAUCUAGAAAACCUUCCAAUCAUCCUGAAAAUCUAUGAAUUCGGCCUGAGAAUUAAAAAGAGACCAGCUGGAAUGCUACAGUGAGAAGAGUUCGCGCUUCUAUCAAGGUAGGAAGACGGGGAAAAAGAAGUAAAGGAACAAAGGCCUCCAAGGGGGAGGGGCCCCGCGAGGAGCCGGGCUGAGGCCGGGGCGAGUGUCCCCAGGACAGGAGAGCCCCGACCCGGAGGAGCAGAAGCUGCACCGACCUUCCCGGGGGAAAGGGGCUCGUGGGGAGGUGGAGCAGGACCCAGGAGGGCGGGGAUGCCCUCGGGCUCCCGGGGACAGUAACAGAGCAACUGCGCGCCCAAGAGAGUGCGCCGAGCUCCCUAAGGGCUGCAGCGCGCACGGCGGGACCCGGAGCAGCUCGGGGGGCUCGGGCGGCGGCUCCGCGGAGGGGGCUGCGGGGCGGGAGGAGCUCGGGGGGCUCGGGCAGAGGAAGAGGCUCCGUGCAGAGGGGGCUGCGCGGUUCCAGGAGCAGCUGAAGGGGCUCGGGCGGCGGCUCCGCGGAGGGGGCUGCGCGGCCCGGGAGCGCGAAUCCAACAGCGCAGGCUCCGGAGCACAGGGCGCCGGGACACAGCCCAGGAUCCCGCCUCCCCCGGGACAGGCAGAGGCCGGGAGGGCCCAGGACAGCGAGGACGCUCCUGCCCAGCUGAGCAGAUCAGCGGCCCCGCCCCGGAGCCUCCAGGCCCUGCAGACGGAGAGCUCCGGAGCUACUGCAGGGGCUGACUCCAGGGCUCCAGAGCUGGCCCCACCACUGGGGCUGUUGCUCCUGGGGCCUCACGGGGUAAACAACCCCCACUGAGCCCUGCACCAGGCAGGGGCACAGCAGCUCCCCCAACUGCUAACACCUGAAAAUCAGCACAACAGGCCCCUCCCCCAGAACACCAGCUAGACAGACCAGUUCCAGGGGAAGUCAAGGGACUUAAAGUACACAGAAUCAGAAGAUAUUCCGCGGUGGUUCCUUUUUUGUUUUGUUUUGUUUUGUUUUGUUUUGUUUUGCUUUGCUUUUUGAUUUGUUUCCUUCCCCCACCCCCUUUUUUUUCUCCUUUCUUUUUCUUUCUCUUUUUUUUUUUUUCCGUUUUUUUUCUUCCCUUUUUUUUCUCUUUCUCUUUUCUUUCCUUCUUUCUCUCCUCUCUUUUUCUCUUUUUCCCAAUACAACUUGCUUUUGGCCACUCUGCACUGAGCAAAAUGACUAGAAGGAAAACCUCACCUCAAAAGAAAGAAUCAGAAACAGCCCUCUCUCCCACAGAGUUACAAAAUCUGGAUUACAAUUCAAUGUCAGAAAGCCAAUUCAGAAGCACUAUUAUACAGCUACUGGUGGCUCUAGAAAAAAGUAUAAAGGACUCAAGAGACAUGACUGCAGAAUUUAGAGCUAAUCAGGCAGAAAUGAAAAAUCAAUUGAAUGAGAUGCAAUCCAAACUAGAAGUCCUAACGACGAGGGUUAACGAGGUGGAAGAACGAGUGAGUGACAUAGAAGACAAGUUGAUAGCAAAGAGGGAAACUGAGGAAAAAAGAGACAAACAAUUAAAAGACCAUGAGGAAGGGAAAUAAACGACAGCCUGAGAAAGAAAAACCUACGUUU
rnacentral:lncRNA from 12 species